AUGCAGUCUUCUCCUCAGGCGUUCAGUGGUGUCCGUGUGUCGCCCACUCACUGGCAUGCACGCCUUGGUCAUCCUGCAGCUCCCAUAGUUCGUCAUGUGUUGCAUCAUUAUGAGCUACCAGUUGUGUCCAAUAAAACUGCCGAAACUGUCUGUGAUGCCUGUCAGCAGGGCAAGAGUCACCAACUUCCGUUUUCAAAGUCUAGUCGUGUUGUGAGACAUCCUCUUGAGCUUGUGUUUUCUGAUGUCUGGGGUCAUGCCCAGACAUCCGUUAGUGGUCACAAUUAUUAUGACAGUUUUAUUGAUGCUUAUAGUCGGUUUACUUGGCUAUAUCUUAUUAAGCACAAGUCUGCUGUGUUCGAUGUUUUUAUUCAGUUUCAAGCACACGUUGAGCGUCUCCUUAAACAGAAAAUCAUCCAUGUUCAAUCCGACUGGAGUGGUGAAUACCACAACCUCAACUCGUUUUUAACAAACUUGGGAUUUCGCAUCGCGUGUCAUGUCCUCAUACACAUCAGCAGAAUGGAAUUGCCGAAUGUAAGCAUCGUCACCUUGUUGAAACUGGCCUAA
rnacentral:rRNA from 1 species